AACGAACGCUGGCGGCAGGCCUAACACAUGCAAGUCGAACGCUCUAGCAAUAGAGAGUGGCGCACGGGUGCGUAACGCGUGGGAAUAUGCCCUUGACUACGGAACAACACAGGGAAACUUGUGCUAAUACCGUAUAAUGACUCCGGUCCAAAGAUUUAUCGGUCAAGGAUUAGCCCGCGUUAGAUUAGCUAGUUGGUGAGGUAAUGGCUCACCAAGGCGACGAUCUAUAGGGGGUCUGAGAGGAUGAUCCCCCACACUGGAACUGAGACACGGUCCAGACUCCUACGGGAGGCAGCAGUGAGGAAUAUUGGACAAUGGGCGCAAGCCUGAUCCAGCCAUGCCGCGUGAAUGAUGAAGGCCUUCGGGUUGUAAAGUUCUUUCGGCGCAGAAUAUAAUGAAUGUAUGCGCAGAAGAAGCCCCGGCUAAAUUCGUGCCAGCCGCCGCCGUAAGAC
rnacentral:rRNA from 1 species